UCCUUGCUGGUGAGAAGUUGUGAUCUCUUGUAGGAGGAGAGGUGUUCUGAUUUCGGGUGUUUUCCUCUUUUUCUUUUUUUUUUGAGACGGAGUUUUGCUCGUUACCCAGGCUGGAGUGCAAUGGCGUGAUCUCGGCUCACCUCAGCCUCUGCCUCUUGGGAACAGGCAAUUCUCCUGCCUCAGCCUCCUGAGUAGCUGGGAUCACAGACCAUGCCCAGCUAAUUUUUUGUAUUUUUCAAUAGAGACGGGUUUUCACGUUGACCAGGAUGGUCUCAAUCUCUUGACCUCAUGAUCCAUCCGCCUCGGCCUCCCAAAGUGCUGGGAUUACAGGCGACUGCUGAGGUCCACUCCAGGCCUUGCUUGCAUGGGGAUCACCUGCAGUUGCUGCAGAACAGUGUUCCAGUUGCCUGCUAAAAGGGCACGGGAUCUGUGUGAUUUCCCAUGAGGCGACCCACUGCACCGGCUGAAACAACGGCACUGCCCGGGAAUCUCCUGGCCAGCUUAAAAGGGCAACCAGACCAGUGUAUUUUGUACGGAGAGCCACCGCGCCGGCUAAAACAGCCACACUGGCCAAAACAGCCGCGCUCGCAACCCAUAGGGCUCCUCUGCCUAGGAAUCUCCUGGUCUGUGGGCAAUAAAGAUCCAUCUGGAAAUGCGGCAUACACUCACCCUCUGCGCUUUCACUGGGAGCUGCAAUCCUGAGCUGCUCCUAAAAGGGCCAUCUUGGAUCCUCCCGGCAGUUGGUCUUAUCUCCCCCAGAGUGGCCUUUCUGCAAACCUCAUCUCUCCAAGGUGGCCACACAGCCUCUGCCUAAACAUUGCUACCACUAGGAUGUGGCCACUUCACCAGGAGUUCACAUGGCUUCAUUAGAAAGAUUUCCCAUACUAAACUGAUUCUGUACCCCUAUGGCUUCCAUCCACUGGCUCUAGUUAAUAGUUCUUGCAGUGCUUAGAAUAUUUUCUUCACUAUGUAGCUAUCAAGACAAGUGCCAUGUAUAUAUCCUUUCUAAAGUUCCCUCUCCCCUUCCAAGCCUAACACCUAUGGGUCUUUCAUUUAUUUUCUACAUGCUAGGUAGGAUUCUUUUCAUCUACAUUCCCAUUUAAACUGUGGCACUCACAACCACAUACACAAUUCCAAAUAAACAGGGUGAUGGAGGCAAAGUUCAAUAGUUCCAACACUAGAGGUAAGAGCUAGACCACUCCCGCCCUCUUCAAUGAUAGACUAGAGUGUCUCAAAGGACUCCUCUAGCACUGAUGUUUCAAGAUUCUAAAAGAUAGGUGCCUAAGAAUAAAUUCAUUAAUGUAAUAAAUAUUUACUGCUUUUAUACUAAUUUUAUUAUACCCUGCCUUGGCAUUUAUAGACAACACAGAUAAAGGGUUUUACGGUCCAGUCUGGGUUCUGCAGGGUAUCCUCUGCAGUUUGCCAGACCUCUAGAGGCUCAAGAAGCAGGCAUUCCAGAAGCGAUGACCACCUUCAGUGACAGCAUGAGCUGCCCACAGGCUUCCAGGCACCUUAACAACUAUUCUCUUCUGAAGAGCCUUCCAAGUUGUGGAUCUUGGAGCUCUCUGUCCCUUUGUUUUUAUUACGCAGAUAAACAGUCAUAUCUGUUUUUGUUACCUCAAAUCUUAAGCCUCUGAUUCCAAAGGACAGAACCUAUGUAAUAAUCAUUCAAAAAGGGAAGAUUAAAAGCAGUACUUAAAUCCAAGGCAUUAAAGUGGCACACACUAUCAAAAUCUUUGGCCCACUAAGUUCACUUUUAAGAAUUUAUCCUACAGAUUCACACUCACAGAAAGACACACACACACACACACACACACACACACACACUGUGCAUAUAUAUAUAUAUAUAUAUAAACAUAUGUAUGUUUAUUUUAGCAAUAUUUAUAAUAGAAAAAUAUUGGAAAUGUAAACAUAUCUCAGUAGGAAACUAUUUCAAACAAUAUACAGCCAUAUGGACCAAUCCUAUUUGGCCUUAAAAAACAAAAAGGAAACAACAAAAUAAUAUAUAAAAAGAUAAAAUGCUACAAGAGAAAAGCAAAAUAUAAAACAAAGUAUAUAAUAUGCUACCAUUUCUGUUAAAAAAUGCAUAUUUUCUUGAAUGUGCAUAAAACAUUUCUAGAAAGAUUCACUAAGGAUUGGUAGAAACUGGUUGCCUCCAAGAACUCAAUGGCUGGAAAGUUGUGGAGGCAGGAAGACUUUUUGCUGUAUAUUCUUUUGUGCCUUAUGAAUA